rnacentral:rRNA from 1 species
GACGAACGCUGGCGGCGUGCUUAACACAUGCAAGUCGAGCGGAAAGGCCCUUCGGGGUACUCGAGCGGCGAACGGGUGAGUAACACGUGAGUAACCUGCCCCAGACUUUGGGAUGACCCUCGGGAACGGGGGCUAAUACCGGAUACGACACAGCUUCGCAUGGGGUCUGUGUGGAAAGUUUUUCGGUUUGGGAUGGGCUCGCGGCCUAUCAGCUUGUUGGUGGGGUGAUGGCCUACCAAGGCGACGACGGGUAGCCGGCCUGAGAGGGCGACCGGCCACACUGGGACUGAGACACGGCCCAGACUCCUACGGGAGGCAGCAGUGGGGAAUAUUGCACAAUGGGCGGAAGCCUGAUGCAGCGACGCCGCGUGAGGGAUGACGGCCUUCGGGUUGUAAACCUCUUUCAGCAGGGACGAAGCGUAAGUGACGGUACCUGCAGAAGAAGCGCCGGCCAACUACGUG